GUAAGAGUAGGAGUGGUAAGAGUAGGAGUGGUAAGAGUAGGAGUGGUAGUAGAGAUUCCUCCUUCCACUCCACCACACUCCCACUCACAGUGGUAUCAAGGAUUAGCGACACCUCUCGACCGACCAAAAUCAGACUCGAGGGUUAAACAAGGAGUGUUAACACCUUGGAGAGCUGUUGCAGCAGGUGGACAUACAUGAAUCAUGGCUCCAGCACGAAAGAUGUCAAUUGAAACAAAGGAGAGGAUUGUCAAACUAAUUCAAGAAGGUAAAACCACACGCAAUGUUGCAAAAGAAGUUGGUUGUUCACCGUCAGCUGUGUCUAAUACCUGGAGAAAAUACAAACAAAAUGGGAAGGUUGUAAAAGGCAAGCACACUGGUAGACCAAGGAAAACAUCUGCCAGUCAGGACAAAAAACUUAAAGAAAUAUGUCUUGCGAACAGAAAAUCCACAGCAAAACAAUUGAAGAGCAAAUGGGAGGAAACUGGAGUUAACGUCUCUGAGCGAACUGUAAGAAACCGCCUAAAGGAAAUGGGUUUCAAAUACAAAAAACCAAAACGAAAGCCAAGAAGAAAAAAACGGGUUGCAAGGACCUAAGAAGAAGCAAUGGUGGACUAUGGGUGACUAGAUGAAAGUCAUAUUCAGUGAUGAAUCGUCAAUCUACAUUUGGGCAAAGCGAUGGUGUUGGGAUUUUUGUUUGGUGCUCUUCCAAUGAGAUUUAUGAAGACGACCACCUGAAGAAAACAUGCAGUGAUUGAUGAUAUCGGGCUGCAUGACAGUCGAAAGGAUGUUUCGGGAUGAUGACAUACAGUAUUUUCAAGAUGAUAAAGCAUCCUACCAUCCAGCAAAAAACUUUAGAAUGAAAGAUACAUUGGGUCAAUGUCAUGGCCUGCGAAUCUUCAGAUCCAAUCGACAAUCUGUGCCAAUUGAAGAAAAUGGUCCAUGACAAGACUCCAACCUGAUCUGACAACAAUCAGAGAAAGUAUGAGCCAGAUUGAUGAAAAGUACUGUUGGUCACUCAUUAAAGCACGUGCCUCAGAAACUGCAAGCUGUUAUAAAAGCCAGAGGUGGUGCAACACACUAAUGGUGGUGUGUUGUAGUGUUUUCUGUCUGUUUUCCAUGAGUCCAUCAUUUCUUCAGAAUUGAGUGAUUCCAUAGUUUUUUCACUCUGCUUUAUCUAAAAAUGAAAAUGUGACUGACAACCACAAUUUUUU